rnacentral:lncRNA from 1 species
UUGGUCAAUAUAAUACAUCAAAUAUUACAAAUACAUUAUUUAGUUAAAUAAAUAACCGAAAACCGAAAAUUCAAAUCCGCGCUGGCGCGCGGAUCAGGGUCUAGUAUUAUGUUAAAAUAUAAAAAUUGCAUUCCAACUCUUUUCCUAUCCAAAGUUAUGUAUUAACAUUUAUAUGUAAACGAAAACGUGUACCAUCUUUGCAUUCGAACUCUUUUCCCAAUCCAAAGUUAUGGAUUCACAUUUACAUAGCCUUGACAAAUUAUUAGCUUUAGAAAAAUGAUAUAAACUUAACUUUAUUUUAAAACUUUCAGUUAUCAUACACGUAUUACUUAGUACAUUUCAAAAUAUUUAGUAUAGAUAUUGUAUCAAUUUUUUUUUUUAAUUAAUAUUGUAUCAAAUUCAAAGAAAACAGAUUUUUUAAACUCUUGGC